GUGUGAGGCUCCCCCAAAAGAAUAGUCGCUAGAAACAGAAAUCACUCCAUAUUUUCACAUCAGAUGGGUAAACCAGAUCACCAUUGAAUAUUCACAGGGGAAAGGAUGUUCCCCACCAUCCUCACCUGUACCAUACAUAACCUACAAGAGCAGCAACUUAGGUGACACCAUAGGUGCUACUUUCUUGCUUGGGUUCCUGUGCCUCUCAGAAAUACAUGGCCAAUGAAAGUGGAACAUGUGUUGUUUCCACCCUGUGUGGCUCUGUAGUCUCCUAUACCACUUACAAAAAAAUACUGCAGCUCUUGUCAAGUUGGUGUAAUACUGUUCAAUCUGUUCAAUAAAAUAUGUGACUGUG